UUGCACCACUGACAGAAACGAGUGUGAAUGUGAAACAGAUUCGGUCGACUCUCGGAAGCCGCUGUAGCAUUCACAUCACGGAGCUGGGAUUAGAGUGAAGGUAAUCCCCUGGAAUAACACACUCAAGCCAUUUUAUAAACCAGAAAUGUUGAGUAGUGGGAGAACUACCUGAUCUAAAUCAACUCUGAAACACGGCCAUGUUGCACAAGCCUGAGCAGAUGAACAGGUUUGAAAUGAUGCUGACAUUUCCAGCUUCACCAAAUGUUAAAUGCGAAGGGGCGCCAAUAAUUUCGAAAGCAUUGUUUUCGAAGAGAAGAACUGCACUACAGCUUUAAUCCACUGUAUCAAAAUUCAAAUGUGUCAACAACAACAACAAAAAAAACGUACAUUCGAUUAGCUGACUUUCCCUUUAAAUACUCUGGAAGAUUCCAGAAAUCGAUUCCAGAAAUGAAAGCUUCUGAUUGGCCAAUCAUCAUAAUUAGGGGUUAAUUGGGAGGCACAUGUGGCUGUAAAAGGGACUACCUUUAGUGAAUUUUUGACCUUGUUACCGUGGGAACGUCCAAGCAAAUCAGCCAAAACAAAUGAUGGUCCCUCCACCAGUUUGGUUCCUCCUUCCUCCAGCAAUUUCCAAACAACUGAAGGUAUUAUGUAUGAACAUGGACAUCUGUAUGCAAACGAAAACAUCUUUGGUGCACACAGACACCGCAUCGUUUAGGAAAGAGGCACAAAUUAACUCCCAGGUACGAAUAAACAUCGGUCCAUAAGAUUCAAAUAGAAACCCAAGACAACAACAGAGGAACUGAUGAAGGAGUCAGAGGCAUGAAAUAUGAACACAUCCAGCAUCACCACGGCCUGAAGGACGGUCACGUAAGGGAGAAAAGCCUCUACUCCAUAUAAAAUCCCGACUGAAGUUCUUAGGAGGAGUGUUCUCUGGUCAGAUAAACUGAUUGGCCACAUUGACCAGCGCUCUGUAUAGAGGAAAAAGCACGGCAGCGGUGGCUCCAGGGUCCGUAUCAUGUCCUAACCAGCUGGGAUAUCCGAAAAAAGAAAAUCACCGCGCUGUAAGGUAUAUGUGACAAAUAAAGGCUUCUUGUUCUAAAAAGGCCGAGGAUUUUAAUCUGAAGAACACCGUCCCGACUGUGAAGCAUGGUGGUGGUGGCAGCGUCUUGUAGUGGCGGAGUUCUGCUUCGUGAGGAAGGGGGAAAUCUUGAAGCAACACCUCAAGAAAAAGUUCAAACUUGAUCACACCUGGGUCUUCCAGCAGGACAGUGAUCCUAAACGCACCUCCACGGCUGCGCCAAAAUGGAUUAAAGACAGCAAAGUGAAAGUAUUGAAGUGACCAUCACGAAGCGCUGAGCUGAAUCCCAGAGAACAUCUGCGGAAUGAACUGAAGAAGCGUCUCUGAGCGAGGAGGAACACAGGCUUGAGUUCCAGCUCUUCAGUCAGGAGGAACGGGAGGAAAUUCCAGCUGAGUAUCAUCAGAAGCUUGUGGAAGGAGACCUGAAGCAGAUAAAUCUUCUCUCAGCUAUUAUUAUGAAAUGACCAGAAAUGAUAUGGAAUAAGAUAAAUGUGUGUGUGUGUGUGUGUGUGUUUUUAUUUUUAGGAGUGGCUGGACGCGCGUUGCAGAGGGGUGCGUAACGCCAGUGCCUACAUCCUGGUCUACGACAUCUGCUGCGUUGAGAGCUUCGAAUAUGUCAAGAUGAUACGACAGCAGAUUGUAGAUAACAGAUUUUUAUAUCCUCUUGUCUUCUUCACAAUUCUCUCUCUCUCUCUCUCUCUCUCUCUCUCUCUUUCUCUCUCGCU